AAGUGUAGUUGAGGAGGCCAAAUUCCUCACUAGGUGCACACCUAACAGAUGAACAAAGACAAGCUGUUUCGGAAAUGGGACUGGGCAACCUCAUUAAGCUCAAUUAUAGAAGGGUGACAAGAAAACUAUGUUGUUGAUUAGCUGAGAGGAUUGACACAGCUAGGAGGGUAAUACAAUUGAAUUUCUGGAUACAUAAUUAGAGUGAAGGACGACGGAAUGCCGCUUCGGUUAGAAUGGGUCACAUGUAGUCACAUAUUUAUAAAAGUUUAAUGCAACAUCUCGUGGAAUUAACAUUAAAAUUUAAUGUAAAAUUAGUGGAAUUAACAUUGAGACAU
rnacentral:lncRNA from 1 species